UCAUUAAUUAUUGAGGUUCCAUUUUGCUAAGAAUAAAAUAUAGGAUUUGUUAAGAAUGGUUUAUUAAAAGUCUAUUUAAGAUCUAGAAUUUGAUUAGGAUUUGAUUUAGGAUUUAGUCUAGGAUUUGAUUAGGAUUAGAAUAUAUUUAGGAUUUGAUUUAAAACUUUUCUAGAAUUUAUCUAAGGUUUAAGAUUUUAUUAAGAUUUCAUUAGGAUUUGACCUUGAUUUUAGUUAAGGUUUAAUUAAUAUUUCAAUUAGGAUUUGAUCUAAGAUUUGGUUAAGAUAUAAUUAAAAUUUCAAUUAAUUUUUUAUUAAUAUUUUUAUUUUUAGUAUUUUUAAAGAAUUUUUGAUAUUUUUUGUGAUUUUUUAAAAAUUUAUUUUCAUAGAUUAAAAUUUGAUUGGAUUAUUAGGAAUUAUUUGAAGUUUAUUUGAGGCUCUAUUAGACUUAAUAGAAUUAUAAUUAUAUUGUUACUUACCUUCAAUAGCUAGGUGGGUGAUGCAUUCUUAAGUAAGAAUA
rnacentral:lncRNA from 1 species